CGGCGGACGGGUGAGUAAUGCCUAGGAAUCUGCCUGGUAUGGGGGACAACGUUUCGAAAGGAACGCUAAUACCGCAUACGUCCUACGGGAGAAAGCAGGGGACCUUCGGGCCUUGCGCUAUCAGAUGAGCCUAGGUCGGAUUAGCUAGUUGGUGAGGUAAUGGCUCACCAAGGCGACGAUCCGUAACUGGUCUGAGAGGAUGAUCAGUCACACUGGAACUGAGACACGGUCCAGACUCCUACGGGAGGCAGCAGGC
rnacentral:rRNA from 1 species